rnacentral:rRNA from 1 species
UACGAAGGGGGCUAGCGUUGCUCGGAAUCACUGGGCGUAAAGGGUGCGUAGGCGGGUCUUUAAGUCAGGGGUGAAAUCCUGGAGCUCAACUCCAGAACUGCCUUUGAUACUGAGGAUCUUGAGUUCGGGAGAGGUGAGUGGAACUGCGAGUGUAGAGGUGAAAUUCGUAGAUAUUCGCAAGAACACCAGUGGCGAAGGCGGCUCACUGGCCCGGUACUGACGCUGAGGCGCGAAAGCGUGGGGAUCAAACAGG